UAACUGACGCUGAGGCACGAAAGCGUGGGUAGCAAACAGGAUUAGAUACCCUGGUAGUCCACGCUGUAAACGAUGAUUACUAGGUGUGGGGGGACUGACCCCUUCCGUGCCGGAGUUAACACAAUAAGUAAUCCACCUGGGGAGUACGGCCGCAAGGUUGAAACUCAAAGGAAUUGACGGGGGCCCGCACAAGCAGUGGAGUAUGUGGUUUAAUUCGAAGCAACGCGAAGAACCUUACCAGGUCUUGACAUCCAACUAACGAAGUAGAGAUACAUCAGGUGCCCUUCGGGGAAGGUUGAGACAGGUGGUGCAUGGUUGUCGUCAGCUCGUGUCGUGAGAUGUUGGGUUAAGUCCCGCAACGAGCGCAACCCUUGCUAUUAGUUGCUACGCAAGAGCACUCUAAUAGGACUGCCGUUGACAAAACGGAGGAAGGUGGGGACGACGUCAAAUCAUCAUGCCCCUUAUGACCUGGGCUACAAACGUACUACAAUGGCCAUCAACAGAGGGAAGCAAAACAGCGAUGUGGAGCAAACCCCUAAAAAUGGUCUCAGUUCAGAUUGCAGGCUGCAACCCGCCUGCAUGAAGUCGGAAUUGCUAGUAA
rnacentral:rRNA from 1 species